rnacentral:rRNA from 1 species
GUAACACGUAGUCAACCUGCCCUGGAGACAUGGACAACCCCGGGAAACUGGGAUUAAUCCGUGAUAGGUCAUCUCAUCUGGAAGGAGAGAUGGCUUAAAGGGGUACGCGGGCUUCUUCUGCGUAUCUGCUCCAGGAUGGGACUGCGUCCGAUCAGGCUGUUGGCGGGGUAAUGGCCCACCAAACCUGUAACCGGUACGGGCCUUGAGAGAGGUGGCCCGGAGAUGGACACUGAGAGAAGGGUCCAGGUCCUACGGGGCGCAGCAGGCGCGAAACCUUCGCAAUGCGCGAAAGCGUGACGAGGUUAAUCCGAGUGGCCCCCGCUGAGGGGGUCUUUUGUCAGCUGUAAAUAGGCAGGCGAAUAAGGGGAGGGCAAGCCUGGUGCCAGCCGCCGCGGUAAUACCAGCUCCUCGAGUGGUCGGGGCGAUUAUUGGGCCUAAAGCAUCCGUAGCCGGUUCCGUAGGUCCUCUGUUAAAUCCAGCCGCUUAACGGUUGACAUGCAGAGGAUACCGCGGGACU